rnacentral:lncRNA from 1 species
CUUUUAUGCCUGGCGUAUUAAUCACCGAGCAGGGCUCGCCGCGUCCCGCUCAGCCUGCGUUUGCCCUCUAACUACGGGGAGGAGUUCUGCUUUGUCUAUAUAAAGCUGCACUUUGCUGAACACCGUAACAGAACCAAACUUAGAGACUCCAUCACCCAUCCUCUGUGGGGAGAGCAGAGCAGCAGCAGCCAUGUUUGGGAUUGGGAAGAAGCUCGCCGAGGAAGCAACGCAACAGGCCGAGAGCGCUGCGCAGGCGGCAGUUAACACGGUGGGGCAGACUGUGCAGCAAGCAGUGGAGCAGGCCAAGGAUGCUGGUCAGAAAGGUAUGGUCAUGUUUCUGCUGCUUUCACCGUCA